CCCUUUGGGGUGUGACUGCGUACCUUUUGUAUAAUGGGUCAGCGACUUAUAUUCUGUAGCAAGGUUAACCGAAUAGGGGAGCCGGAGGGAAACCGAGUCUUAAUUGGGCGUUAAGUUGCAGGGUAUAGACCCGAAACCCGGUGAUCUAGCCAUGGGCAGGUUGAAGGUUGGGUAACACUAACUGGAGGACCGAACCGACUAAUGUUGAAAAAUUAGCGGAUGACCUGUGGCUGGGGGUGAAAGGCCAAUCAAACCGGGAGAUAGCUGGUUCUCCCCGAAAGCUAUUUAGGUAGCGCCUCGUGAAUUCAUCUCCGGGGGUAGAGCACUGUUUCGGCUAGGGGGCCAUCCCGGCUUACCAACCCGAUGCAAACUGCGAAUACCGGAGAAUGUUAUCACGGGAGACACACGGCGGGUGCUAACGUCCGUCGUGAAGAGGGAAACAACCCAGACCGCCAGCUAAGGUCCCAAAGUCAUGGUUAAGUGGGAAACGAUGUGGGAAGGCCCAGACAGCCAGGAUGUUGGCUUAGAAGCAGCCAUCAUUUAAAGAAAGCGUAAUAGCUCACUGGUCGAGUCGGCCUGCGCGGAAGAUGUAACGGGGCUAAACCAUGCACCGAAGCUGCGGCAGCGACGCUGAUGCGUUGUUGGGUAGGGGAGCGUUCUGUAAGCCUGCGAAGGUGGCCUGUGAGGGUUGCUGGAGGUAUCAGAAGUGCGAAUGCUGACAUAAGUAACGAUAAAGCGGGUGAAAAGCCCGCUCGCCGGAAGACCAAGGGUUCCUGUCCAACGUUAAUCGGGGCAGGGUGAGUCGACCCCUAAGGCGAGGCCGAAAGGCGUAGUCGAUGGGAAACGGGUUAAUAUUCCCGUACUUGGUGUUACUGCGAAGGGGGGACGGAGAAGGCUAUGUUGGCCGGGCGACGGUUGUCCCGGUUUAAGCGUGUAGGUGUGUGUUCCAGGUAAAUCCGGUUCACUUUAACACUGAGGCGUGAUGACGAGGCACUACGGUGCUGAAGCAACAAAUGCCCUGCUUCCAGGAAAAGCCUCUAAGCAUCAGGUAACAUCAAAUCGUACCCCAAACCGACACAGGUGGUCAGGUAGAGAAUACCAAGGCGCUUGAGAGAACUCGGGUGAAGGAACUAGGCAAAAUGGUGCCGUAACU
rnacentral:rRNA from 2 species